CUUACCAUGCAGUCGAACGGCAGCGCGGGGGUAACCCUGGCGGCGAGUGGCGAACGGGUGAGUAAUACAUCGGAACGUGUCCUGGAGUGGGGGAUAGCCCGGCGAAAGCCGGAUUAAUACCGCAUACGAUCCACGGAUGAAAGCGGGGGACCGAAAGGCCUCGCGCUCAAGGAGCGGCCGAUGGCGGAUUAGCUAGUUGGUGGGGUAAAGGCCCACCAAGGCGACGAUCCGUAGCUGGUCUGAGAGGACGACCAGCCACACUGGGACUGAGACACGGCCCAGACUCCUACGGGAGGCAGCAGUGGGGAAUUUUGGACAAUGGGCGAAAGCCUGAUCCAGCAAUGCCGCGUGUGUGAAGAAGGCCUUCGGGUUGUAAAGCACUUUUGUCCGGAAAGAAAACUUCGCCUCUAAUACAGGUGGAGGAUGACGGUACCGGAAGAAUAAGCACCGGCUAACUACGUGCCAGCAGCCGCGGUAAUACGUAGGGUGCAAGCGUUAAUCGGAAUUACUGGGCGUAAAGCGUGCGCAGGCGGUGAUGUAAGACCGAUGUGAAAUCCCCGGGCUUAACCUGGGAACUGCAUUGGUGACUGCAUUGCUAGAGUAUGGCAGAGGGGGGUGGAAUUCCACGUGUAGCAGUGAAAUGCGUAGAGAUGUGGAGGAACACCGAUGGCGAAGGCAGCCCCCUGGGCCAAUACUGACGCUCAUGCACGAAAGCGUGGGGAGCAAACAGGAUUAGAUACCCUGGUAGUCCACGCCCUAAACGAUGUCAACUGGUUGUUGGGGAUUCAUUUCCUUAGUAACGAAGCUAACGCGUGAAGUUGACCGCCUGGGGAGUACGGUCGCAAGAUUAAAACUCAGAAA
rnacentral:rRNA from 1 species